rnacentral:rRNA from 1 species
UAUGUGAUCGUCUCUCGCAUAUCAAUAAGCGGAGGAAAAGAAACUAACAAGGAUUCCCCUAGUAACGGCGAGUGAAGCGGGAAGAGCUCAAAUUUGAAAUCUUAAAGGGUUUCCCUUUACGAAUUGUAGUUUAAAGAAGUGUUUUCUGUUGAGGUUUUGGUAAAAGUUCUUUGGAAUAGGACAUCAUAGAGGGUGAGAAUCCCGUAUUUGACCUUUACUUUCAACUUUGUGAUACACUUUCAAAGAGUCGGAUUGUUUGGGAAUGCAGUCCAAAAUGGGUGGUAAAUUUCAUCUAAAGCUAAAUAUUGGCGAGAGACCGAUAGCGAACAAGUACCGUGAGGGAAAGAUGAAAAGAACUUUGAAAAGAGAGUUAAACAGUACGUGAAAUUGUCAAAAGGGAAGCGUUUGACACCAGUGUUGUUUUUCUGAAAAUCAAUUAAAGAACUGUUUAUGCUAAGCUGUUUAGACUUUAUCAGCUAUCUGCUUUAGUUUUGAGCUUUUCUUUAAUGCACUUUUCAGUUAACAAGUCAACAUCAAUUUCUUUUGCUGUAAAAAAGCUUGAGGAAGGUGGCUUGAGAUUCGUCUUAAGUGUUUAUAGCCUCUUGCCUAUGCAGUCGGAGAGAUUGAGGUCUGCAGCGUAGAUCCUUCGGGGCUAAAUGCAUUUGUGCUAAGUUAUAGCAUUUUAUAGACAACUUGUUGACUAUGAUUUGUCUUGUAGCUUACUCGCUUAUGUUAUUUUACCUACGCUUAGGAUGUUGAACGCGCACAGAGUCUC